UACAGACGGUCCAAACGUUAUUCGGAAUCACUGGGCUUAAAGAGUUCGUAGGCGGUCAGGAAAGUGGGGUGUGAAAGCCCUCGGCUUAACCGAGGAAUUGCGCUCCAAACUCCCUGACUUGAGGAGGCUAGAGGUAAGCGGAACUGAUGGUGGAGCGGUGAAAUGCGUUGAUAUCAUCAGGAACACCGGAGGCGAAGGCGGCUUACUGGGGCAUUUCUGACGCUGAGGAACGAAAGCUAGGGGAGCGAACGGG
rnacentral:rRNA from 1 species